rnacentral:pre_miRNA from 1 species
UCUUCAUUUCACGUGCUCUUUCACCGGUCAGAGUGGUGAGAUAGCGUGUGAGAUGAGGAGA